GGGACAAGCCAGGGCUCUGAGAGCAGCUCUUCCUUUCCUUGCUCGUAAAACACGGGGGCAGGGAACUGACACGCAGGGAUGCAAAACACGGCACAGAACGAGGCUGGGAAGAACACACAAACAAACGGCUCCAUCGAGUCAGAGAAGAGCACCUUCCGCUCCUUGGGAGGAACCCCAGGAACCUGGCGCCUGUGCCCAGCCUCUUCCAGCUUUCCUGCCGUGCCCCUGCGCUGCUCGGCUGACUCCGCAGGCUGCCUGCCCAGCCCCGGCACGGGGGGCUCCGGGGGCUCCUUACCCGGUGCCUUCGCAGCAGCUUCUUGUUUAGCUCCCGGGCUCUCUUCCUCCUUGCUCUUGGAGAGAGGCGCGGCGGGCUCCUGUUGCAUUUCUGCUGCGGAAGAGAAAGCGACAAUGAAACCUUUUCCUCGCAACGAGCGACGGGUUCCCUUCUCCUGCCACCACGUUCUGCACAAGGGGAGAGGGGAAGAGGUCACCAACAGCAGCCAGGGGAGAAAACCAGGAGAGACGUGGAGAGGAGCGCUAUUAACCCCACACAGCAGCGCAGGGGCUCCCCGCCUCGGAGCCCGGGGUCAGCCACAGUCAGGAAGGGUUUUGCAGAGCGGAUUCUGCUGCGUGCCAAAGGGCCUCGGAUCUCUCCCAGCCUGAUUUUAGAGCUGCUCUGAGCGGUGACCACUGCUCGCACUCCUCCGUGUUCUCCUUACCUUGCUUUGGCUUCUCCUCUCCUCCCUCCUCCUGCCUUUGCUGGUGGAUCUCCUUGUGCUGCUCUUCAAUUACAGCCAGCAGCUUUGCCUGCUGGUCAAGUAGCUGCUUCUGCUGCACUUGCUGUUCUUUGAUCACCUGCAGCAGCACAGCGUGAUCGAGCAGUUUCGCCUGCCCAGCAUCUAGGAAAAAAAAAAAAAGGAUAAAAAAAAAUAAUCCAUGACCCCAAAUCCUCGCUAAUCAUCUCUGAGCACUCGAGGGGCUGCGGUGGCUUUCCUCAGCAGGAAAGUCCUGCCCUGCAAACGCUGCCAGUUCUGCAGGAGAGUUCUCCCAGCUGCCAUCGCGAUAACUGCUCGGGGAGCAGGGGCACAGAGGAGUGGGCUUGGGGGGUGUUUGUGCAUGAAAGGAGGAGUCUGCUUGGCCUGAGCUGGGAGGGGAGCGGGCUGGCAGCAGUCGAGGGCGCCUCAGGGACCCCCGCGCUGCAGCGCCGCGGCUCUCCAUCAGGCUUCUCGAGCACGUCAUCGCUUCGAACGCGCUGCGGAGGCCUCGUCCCAGCAGAGCGGAGCCAGGAUGGGGCACAGAAAGCAAAUGGAGGCAAUCGAGGGGCUGACUGAAGGCGCAGCGAGCACUGCCUGCACCUCCUGCUGCAGCACCACGACUCCACGCGCCAGGCCCGCGGGUCCCAGCUCAGCAUGGGAAUGUUUGGGCCGGGCGCGCAGCGAAGGUUUCAGCCAAAUCAAAGAAUUUCACAGCACGGGUUUCAGCCAAAUCAAAGAAUUUCUCACCGAGAGCUUCGCAGACAUGUGUGAGUGUGUGUGUGCGCAUGCGCGCGUGACACACCUCUUCCACGCAAACAAAAGGCUGCGCUCACUCCCAGCCCUUCCUUUGAUCUCGGGCUGGAUUUGAACAGGCGCUCUUCAUAAAAAACAUCCUCAACAAUUACCCAAGGGAAGCACUCGGGUCCACACCGCCCCGGGCAGCUGCAGCCACGGCUCCGAGGAGCAGCCCCAAGGCAGCCGCUCGCAGGGAGCACCCGUGGCCGGAGCCUUCCCACCCUAUGCAACCUCUCGGCCUCCCCGUAGGAAGCUCAGCUCUGAGCGAGGAGCAGAACAAGCCCAAGGCACCUUUUGGUGAUGUCCUCAUGGGAGAGCUCCCCGGCACGUCCCCCAUGCAGAGAUGGGAGCCCCCCAGAGACUCAGACCCCCUAAUCCUUCUUGAAACGUGCAGAGUCCUCACAGCCCGCACCUGCUACAAGCUUUUUGCGCUCAGCUUUUUCAGCUCCGUCGCAAUGCAAAAAGGCAAGAAAUGAGUUAAAAGCCAGGACGUGGCCACCAAACAAGGAGGGCAGCAGGCACCCCACGAGCACAGCCUGCUGGCUGCAAUGCCCAUGGACGUCCCAUCAGGUCCGGAGCAGAGCACACCAGGGCAUCACACGAAGGCAAUCGCACGGCCCAGGGACGGUGCCGUGAGCCACCCUGGCUCCAAACCCCCCUGGCACUGCAAGGACAGGGUCACGGCAGCGUGCCAGCCAGCCAGGAGCAGCAGCAGCGCCCCGAGGACGGGGCAGGCCGGGUUCCCAAUCCCCGGCUGUGCCCAAGUCACCCCGUGCCAACGGCCCCGGGGCUGCAGGGCGAUGCCCACACACCUUCCCCUGCCGCCGGGCCCCGUGUUUUGCAGAACCCAAACGGUUUGAGGCUGGCCGUGCUCCGGUUGAGUCAGCACCGCUGGCACUCGAGCAGGAAGCCGGGGCUGGCCUCCAGUGGCUCACGUCCCGGAGCCGGCCUCGCCUUGCCAGGGACCUCUCCAGGAGCGUGCCAGCCUCCGCCGGAGGCGUUAGCCCGCUGCAGACAGGCACCGAUCGCUGCGGUGACGACAGCCCAAAGCUACGUGCUCCCGAGAGCCAGGACAGGCAGCGCUGGCACGUCCCUCCCGCAGAGGAAUCCGGUGCUCACAGCCCAGGUCCCAGGUCCCGGGGCCGAGCACUCACCCUCCAGCUUGCUCUCCGCGUUCUCGGGUUGCUUCUCCUCCGCGUUCCUGCUCUCCCUCGGCUCCGGCUGCUGGGGCUGGGCCGGAGCCGCUCGGUCCGGGAGGGGCAGCUCCGGCUUCUCACCUGCAGGAGAACAGAACAGGCCCCGGCGCUCAGCAAGGGGGCUCCAGCAGAGGUUCUCUGCAACGACUCCACGCCGUGCCGGCCCUGCCCUGCCCUGCCCGAGCAGCGCCGUUUAUAUUCAACCCGACGGCUGCAAAGGGAAGUAAUAAAAGAUAAAUAAAUAAAUUAACCAUCUUA